CCUUCUUCACCCCCUUGCUCUCUAGCUUUCCCAGCCAUCCCUCCUCACUCUGUAGUCCACCCUAGAUCCAAGAAACCAGAGUGGGAGAGCUCCUUCUUGCUCUCCUCGCCAUCAUCUUCUUGCCUGCCGCCGGGAUGAUGCCAUCACCGCCGCCCAACGGCCGAUCUCUGGGAACGCCGACCUCGCCACGGGAGCUCUGGAGCGCGGCUACACCGUCGUCAACGCGCAGCCGCGGGUUCGCGCAGCUGUUCCCGUCGCCUCGAGGCGAAUCCGGCUGAGCUGCUGCUCCACCAGCUUCGCCUCACCAUCCUCUCCAAACGCCCCAAGAAUCCCUCAGAACCGUGCAGCGAGGAGGGAGAUCGACCACCGUCUUCUCCAACUCCGAUCUAGCGCCUCCGUCGUCGAUUCCCAUUCAACCGAUUCGGAGAAUUCGGAGUUCGUGGAGCGAGACUCUGAGGUUGAGUGUGUUUCCACACAGCAGCAAGGCAAGC